UUUAGUUUAUUGGUCAUCAUCAUACGAUAUACAGGAUUGAACUUGGAUAUUAAAUAAUUACACGGCAAUAUUAACACAAACCAUUAGAUUACAAAUUUGUGUCAAUCUUACAGUAUUUUCACCAAGAAAAUCAUUUUAAGCUCUUAAAACACAAUUAGAAAUUUACGAAAUUUCAGUAGAUGAAACCAGCUAUCAGAGCAACGGUGGCUAUGGCCAAGCCGGUGAAGAUAUCCGUGGCAACGGUGACAGCAGAACUUGGUUUCGCUGUAUUGUCGUAGUCAUAUUGGGCGGAGACCACUGGAAUCACCAAUGCCAGCACCAGACAAGCCCCCGUCAUCUGAACAAACAUCUUCAUCAUUUUGAGAGAAGAUUUUGAUGUGCUUCUCUUAACAAAAAAAAAAAAAAAUUUUGAUGUGCU
rnacentral:lncRNA from 1 species